GAUGAACGCUAGCGGCAGGCCUAACACAUGCAAGUCGAGGGGCAGCACGUCUUCGGAUGGUGGCGACCGGCGCACGGGUGCGUAACGCGCAUGCAACCUACCUUUAACUGGAGCAUAGCCCCGAGAAAUCGGGAUUAAUACUCCAUAACAACAAGAAGUGGCAUCACUUUUUAUUUAAAGCUUUGGCGGUUAAAGAUGGGCAUGCGUGACAUUAGUUAGUUGGUGAGGUAACGGCUCACCAAGACUUCGAUGUCUAGGGGUUCUGAGAGGAUUAACCCCCACACUGGUACUGAGACACGGACCAGACUCCUACGGGAGGCAGCAGUGAGGAAUAUUGGUCAAUGGGCGCAAGCCUGAACCAGCCAUGCCGCGUGAAGGAUGAAGGCCUUAUGGGUUGUAAACUUCUUUUAUACGGGAAUAAACUUAGUUACGUGUAACUAACUGCAGGUACCGUAUGAAUAAGCACCGGCUAACUCCGU
rnacentral:rRNA from 1 species